rnacentral:rRNA from 1 species
UACGAAGGGGGCUAGCGUUGCUCGGAAUCACUGGGCGUAAAGGGUGCGUAGGCGGGUCUUUAAGUCAGGGGUGAAAUCCUGGAGCUCAACUCCAGAACUGCCUUUGAUACUGGGAGGCUCGAGUCCGGGAGAGGUGAGUGGAACUGCGAGUGUAGAGGUGAAAUUCGUAGAUAUUCGCAAGAACACCAGUGGCGAAGGCGGCUCACUGGCCCGAUACUGACGCUGAGGCACGAAAGCGUAGGGAGCAAACAGG